ACUUCGGUACAUCGGUGACAGGUGGUGCAUGGUUGUCGUCAGCUCGUGUCGUGAGAUGUUGGUUAAGUCCCGCAACGAGCGCAACCCCUAUUGUUAGUUGCCAUCAUUCAGUUGGGCACUCUAGCGAGACUGCCGGUAAUAAACCGGAGGAAGGUGGGGAUGACGUCAAAUCAUCAUGCCCCUUAUGACCUGGGCUACACACGUGCUACAAUGGUUGGUACAACGAGUUGCGAGUCGGUGACGGCGAGCUAAUCUCUUAAAGCCAAUCUCAGUUCGGAUUGUAGGCUGCAACUCGCCUACAUGAAGUCGGAAUCGCUAGUAAUCACGGAUCAGCACGCCGCGGUGAAUACGUUCCCGGGCCUU
rnacentral:rRNA from 1 species